UGCAGUGGUAUGAUCCUAGUUCAUUGCAGACUUGGACUCCUGGACUCAAGUGAUCCUCUUGCUUCAGCCUCAUGAAUAGCUAGGACUGCACUUGUGUGCCACAAUAUUUGGCUAAUUUAAAAAAUUUUUUGUAGAGACAAGAUCUUGCUACAUUGCCCAGGUUGGUCAUGAACUCCUCGCCUCAAGCACUCCUCUUGCCUCAGCCUUCCAAAGUGCUGGUAUUAUAGUUGUGAGCCACUGUGCUCCACCAAGUCACUUUUAAUAUUGAGGUUCUGAUCCCUGUGUGUGGAGAGAUUGAGAAUAGAAUCAGGCACUAUCACCAUAAGUUGAGGGAGUGGCUUUUGUGGAGGUGGUCUCUUGAGUUUUUUUCUGCCUCAGUGGGGAUGGCAGGAUGACAAGUUGGCCUAAUUAGUCACAUUGGCCUAAUUUGUAUUGGCCCCUGAGUCAUUCGGGGAAAGAAAGACCUGUAGCCUGGAUGUCAGGCAUGUUUGUGGGUCCAGAGCUCACCUUGAAGAAGGGGAUAGUUGGUGUGAGAUCUGUAUGUUUAUGGACAGAAAACGUUGGGUUCCUUGUUCCCAGGAAUGUUCCAGAACUUCCAGCGACGGUCAGAAGGAGCUGUUUUCAGAUUCAGCUCAGAAUCCAUAUUCUCCAAGAUCUGGAACAUGGAGAUUUCACAGCCCCCAUAUUCUGGAUAAUUCACUCAAAGCUUGAGAGUUAGAGAUGAGGGAAUCAACAUAGGCAUCAAAGAGAAGACAGAUGCCAACACUAGCAUGGAGGAAAGAUUACAGCUGAUCUGGAGGUAUGAUUGGGAGAGGUUGAAAAGACUUUCAGGGGUGUCCCUGAUGAGGGAGGGCACAAGCAAAGGCCCAGGGGAAAGGAACUGCCCAGUAGAUCCCAGAAAAGGGCUACCAUUGGAUAUAACAGAGUGCAAAAUAACAGGGUAGACAGUAUACUGCAUCAACGGGUGGAAGACAACUGCCUUUUGGGUUGAGCAUAGUCUGAAAGCAAUGGAACCAUUGAAUCCCACAAAAGCUGGUAAUCUGCACAGCCCAAAGGUCAGAGCCAUCAGGACUUUGCCUGGAAUAUUCUGGCAUUAUUGGCAAACAUCUCCCUUCCCCUAACAGGUUGGCUGCUGUACACUGAGCCCCAGUGGGAGAUCAGAAGGCAGGUUCAGCAGAAAUACAUAGGACUCUACUCAUGUAUUGGGAACCAUUUUAUUUUUCCCUUUUUAGAGACAAGGUCUCAUUCUGUUGCUCAGGCUGGAGUACAGUGGUACAAACGUAGCUAGCUCACGGCAGUCUUUAAGUCCUGGGAUCCAGUGAUCCUCCUGCCUCAGUCUCCCAAAUAGCUGGGAACAGACAUGCUACCAUCAUGCCCAGCACCACUUUAUGAGAUCUAAUCUUGGCCACUCACACAGAGGAUUGAGCUCUGAUGACAUGUCUACCCUAACUUUAUUUGCUUAGAAGCCCCCAUGUGAGUCAGCUGGCCUUAUAAUUCUGAUCCCACACGAGUCUUCCAUAUUGGAGACAUACUCAGGAAGGCAAGCCUGAGCAACGUAGGGAUCCCGCAUACACCUCACUGUGCUGGGGAGUACUUGAGAAGCCCUGCUGUAAUCUCUGCUGACUGCAAAACUGUUGUGGCUUCUGCUCAUGAUGUAGUUAUCAUUGUCCAUCCCCUCAGGGGCUUCCAAGAGAGGUGGCAGCUGCAGUGGCCUCUGAUCUGUCAUAUAGUAUGGAUGGACACCACAGGCCAAAGAGCUUCAUGUCAGAGGAUUUCUGGUCUUUUCUCCCCUAGGCCUCAGGAGGACCCAGGGAAAUAUACAAAGCCAACUUAUAGUUUUUGGUGAACUGAGUUUUAUUGAAAUGUUUUUGGAAAUGAUUUUCAACAUUUACGAAAUCAGAUGCCACAUAAAAAUCCAAAUAUUUGGCUCUUCUUGCAAAACCACUAAGACUCCACCAUAUUGUUUCCCCACCCCUUUAGAGGGGCAGACCUGCUUCGUGGCCACCAUAAGUGGAAUUAUGAAGGCCCUGGCCAUGUGACUCUCUAGAAACCCUGGCUACUCACAUAAGCCACUCUAGACCAUGAUUUCUGUCUUCUCUGUCUUGAGGUUCCUACCUGUGCAGUGAUGGCCAUGAGAUGAACAGCCCAGAGAGUCCACAGGAAUCCACAAAACAUUUAUCUGGAUUUCAGUUAUGAGUGACAGGGCUCCUGGGCAACAG